rnacentral:rRNA from 1 species
ACCCGCUGAAUUUAAGCAUAUUACUAAGCGGAGGAAAAGAAACCAACAGGGAUUCUCCUAGUAACGGCGAGUGAAGGGAGAAAAGCCCAGCACUGAAUCCUACAGCUAUUAGUUGUUAGGAAUUGUGGUGUUUAGGUAACUUCGCAUGUACAGCGCAACUUACUUUAAGUCCACCUGAUUGUGGCUCAAGCCCAGAGAGGGUGUAAGGCCCGUAAAAGUGAGAAGCGUUAGUGCUUGAAGUUGUCCUUGGAGUCGAGUUGUUUGGGAAUGCAGCUCAAAAUGGGUGGUAAACUCCAUCUAAGGCUAAAUACUGCCACGAGUCCGAUAGCUAACAAGUACUGUGAAGGAAAGUUGAAAAGAACUUUGAAGAGAGAGUUCAAUAGUACGUGAAACCGCUUAGAGGCAAACGGAUGAAGCUGAAACUAGUCCAAGGGAUUCAACUGCGCUUGCUGUGGCCGCGUCAGUUUUAGGAUUUAAUAAACCUAGAUUGGCGUUGAGUUGCGGUGGCGCGGCGCACUUUCCUUGCGGCUUUCACCACGACUGACAGUGUUGCCAGUCUGCGUUUGCGGAAGGUAGCUUCUUCUCUUCACAGAGUAGAAGUGUUAUAGACGUUUUAUACGUUUGACUGGCGUUGUGUCAGAGCUGGCGGCGCCCGCCCUUUGGGCUCGCAUGGCUAGUCUGUUGAGGCUGCUGCCGAUUGCACUGCUUGCAGUUCUUUUGCGCAGUUUAGCUCCUUCUAGGCUGGUCCUCUGUGAGUUGGCGCCAAUAGUCUGUGGUGUUUUUGUAAGUCUUUCAUCUGACCCGUCUUGAAACACGGACCAAGGAGUCUAACAUGUGCGCGAGUCAUUGGAUUUUACGAAAUUCAAAGGCAAAGUGAAGGUAAAGGUUGCAUUACUGCAGCUAAGGUGGGAUAUGGCUUUAUAGCCAUCGCAGCACCGGCUCGUUCUAUUUGUUUUCAAAGGAGCGACGCAAGAGCGUACACGCUGGGACCCGAAAGAUGGUGAACUAUGCUUGCGCAGGUUGAAGCCAGAGGAAACUCUGGUGGAGGACCGCAGCGUUUCUGACGUGCAAAUCGAUCGUCAAACGUGAGUAUAGGGGCGAAAGACUAAUCGAACCAUCUAGUAGCUGGUUCCCUCCGAAGUUUCCCUCAGGAUAGC